rnacentral:rRNA from 1 species
AUGCCCGCCAUGGCCUCCUCCGUCGCCGUGUCGAUCAUCCGCUCGUCCUGGAGAUGCAUAAGAGCCCUCCCGACCCCGUUGACAAACCCUAGCCAACAAAAUUCCCCUCGCACGUCCUCUCCCUCUCGGUUUUGCUCGCUUCCGAGCCAUCGUUGUCGCGCCAUCGUUACCACCAUGGCCACCGGCCUCCCCUCGCCGCUCGAAGAUGUCCGGGGGCUCCGUCGUGGUCGGAUCCAUCACCACGCCGAAGAGCUCGAGCUAGGAUGCCCCGUAGCCUCGCCAUCGUGCGCGUCUUCGCCCGCGGCCGCCGCAUCACGCCGUCGUUUGCCACCCCAACGGGCCACCCCGGCGGCCUUGACCAUGUCCACGAGCCUCCCCACUACGAGACUGACGCCGCUGCUGGUGCCCCGAUGGACUACGCUGUUGACGACCCCUACUUGCCAGAGUAACCAGACGUUGGAGUCCAGGAGCCAGAUGUCACCGUCGACGACGACUACUACUACUACUACUCGGGAGGUGCCUACUACUACGUGCAGCCCGCUGACGACGACCAGGAGUAGUUUAGGAGGAUCCCAGGCAGGAGGCAUGCGCCUCUUUCGAUCUGUAUCCCAGUUUGUGCUAGCCUUCUUAAGGCAAACUUGUUUAACUUAUGUCUGUACUCAGAUAUUAUUGCUUCCGCUGACUUGUCUAUGA